CAUGCACUGGUGGGGUCCCUCGGCCUGGCCUGCACCCUCUCACAAUCCGAGACCCCUAGGGGGAUGUUGGGGAGCCGGUUUCAGCCCAAUCCUGCAGGCCAGGCCGAGGGACCCCACUGGUGCACG
rnacentral:pre_miRNA from 1 species